UGCAGACGAACGGGUAACUUUGAUAGCAAUAUUGAAGCUAGAGUGUCGUAAGGGUGCGUAACACGUAUGCAAUCUGCCCUCAACAGGAGGAUAGCUCGGGGAAACCCGAAUUAACACUCCGUAAUAUCUUGAUGGGGCAUCCUGUUAAGAUUAAAACUCCGGUGGUUGAGGAUGAGCAUGCGCAUGAUUAGUUAGUUGGCGGGGUAACGGCCCACCAAGACGAUGAUCAUUAGGGGAACUGAGAGGUUGAUCCCCCACACUGGCACUGAGAUACGGGCCAGACUCCUACGGGAGGCAGCAGUAGGGAAUAUUGGACAAUGGGUGCGAGCCUGAUCCAGCCAUGCCGCGUGCAGGAAGACGGCCUUCUGGGUUGUAAACUGCUUUUGCCAGGGGAUAAAAAGUCCCUGCGGGGAAAAUUGAAGGUACCUGGUGAAUAAGCCACGGCUAACUACGUGCCAGCAGCCGCGGUAAUACGUAGGUGGCAAGCGUUGUCCGGAUUUAUUGGGUUUAAAGGGUGCGUAGGCGGUCAUGUAAGUCAGUGGUGAAAUACUUCAGCUUAACUGGAGAGGUGCCAUUGAUACUGUGUGACUUGAGUACAGACGAGGUAGGCGGAAUUGACGGUGUAGCGGUGAAAUGCUUAGAUAUCGUCAAGAACACCGAUAGCGAAGGCAGCUUACUAGACUGUAACUGACGCUGAUGCACGAAAGUGUGGGGAUCAAACAGGAUUAGAUACCCUGGUAGUCCACACUGUAAACGAUGAUUACUCGAUGUUGGCGAUACACAGCCAGCGUCUUAGCGAAAGCGAUAAGUAAUCCACCUGGGGAGUACGCCCGC
rnacentral:rRNA from 1 species